UCCAUCUAGGAAAAGACUAUGGAAAGUGCAUACCAUUUUUUCCAGCUAUACUCUCGGAGACUUUGUAUAUACUUCUUGCUGUUGGGUUUCAAGGAAAGACAUCUGAGCCUUUUCUACUAGGCUUGGUCACUGAAAGGGAUGGGACAGUUGGAAGGUGCAAAAGCGCAACCACAGCUCAGCUCAGUCACGGGGACACUCUACUGGGGAAUAGUUUUCCUUCCAAAUUCCAAAAAUGUAGUCCAGGACCAGCCUUCAGAGGAUUUCUAAAGCAAGUAAUUUAGGAGGGCUGACAUUUCUGAAUUUAGCAAAAGAAUCUUUGUAUGAUAUAAACUUGCUUGUGACAUUCAAGCCAGAGGAUAAUUUCUCCUUUCCUAUUCUGUCUUCCUCAGUAUUUUUAUUUAUUCUUUCCCACAUAUCCAUUUUUUUCUUCUUGCUAGUUGAGGUUAUUUCUCUGAUUUCAGUGGAUAAGUUGAUGCCAUAUUUGUUCUUUGCUCUAUAGGGCUCUGAUAGAAACCAAAUUCAUAUUGUGCACACGCAGUAAACUACAGGCUUAUGGGAAUGAAUUAGAUAACCCGUUUGUCGAUAACAUUUGCACAAUACAGUCUAUUAUGUGUUAAGUUUUGAAGGGGAUGAGAUUUCCUUGCCAAGGUAAAGAUGGUUUCAUUGUAGAUUGAGUGUCUGCUCCAUAGUCUCAUCUUUGGGCUGGUGUACAGGAAGGCAAUCUCUUGUUUAUUCUGCAAUGCUAAGCUGUUUGUUAGAGCAUGCUGUAGUCUCAUUGCCUUUGUGCUGCUUAUCAGAGCUAAUAAAGACUCGUUGCGGUCUGCUGAGCAAACAGAAGGAACAUUAGCUCUCAGUAAAACAAUUUAAUUCUGAAGCUUUGAAUCUUCAUUUAACAAUCAAAGCACGCUGCCUUUCACCAGAAGCACUGCGCUACUGAUUGUUGCCAUAGCAGCUAUAUUGUAUUGGAAAAAUAAGUUUGUGUACCGAGUUAACCACAAAUUUAUUUUUAAACAAAAUUCUGACUGACCUCAGAGGACACCUUGAAUGCUUAAAUUCAAGUAUAUGCCUAAAUAUCUCAUUGGAGUCAAACAAUGAAGUCUCAGAGAUAUUAUUAUGCCUUAAGACAAAAUUUUUAAUUUAGCUGAGUGGAGGUGCCUCUUUAAGAGUCUGUGGCAAAAAAGAAUGGGAACCAUAAUCUGGCAUACAAAGAUAAUAUCCUGAAGUUAAUGAUUGAUUAUUUUGGUAUUAUAUUGUAGAUAGAAACAGUAGAAAAUCACGAGAUGUGCUAGGAUAAAAAUAUAAGGUCACAGUUGCCAUAUACUGUGAAAAAUAGCAAAAUAUUGUGCAAUACAAGAAAGAGCAUGACAGUUGUUUUCAUAGAAAAGUCUUUUUUUUUUGUCCUUAUCAACUAUGGACAUAUGAAUAGCUUCACCAUGGUAAGUCACGUUGCCCUGAGUUUAAGCCAUUGGCAGUUAAAAACAAUGAAACCCUGCCCAGAUGGCCCUGGUGAGUUAGUGGUCAUUGCCUCACACUUUCAAAUACCUUUUUCCUAGUAUACAGGCUACUCAUAUACAAGCAAAUAUUACCAGGUAAUUUGUUCUUGACUUGAGCCUAAGCUUUCAUUGUCUAUUACUUCAGAAGUCUCAGUUCAUCUUGGCCUUGUCUUCAUGCAGGGCAGGAUAAGCAUUUGUUUAUUAGCUCCUGGCAUAUGAGUGCCUUCUUCCUGCUUUGUUCACCUGGAUCCAACAUUUAUCUUCAAAAGCGGAUGAAACAGGAAAAUGCCCGUGUUACUUCUAGGGGAAGGGCUCACUAGAUGGCACUGUGUCACUGUGGGACAAGUCACCUCCAUCUGCUUCUAGGCAGUCUGUAUCAUUGAGCAGGGAGAAUGGAGUCAUCUUCGUUCUCUGCUGAUCUGUGACACGAGGUAUUACGUUUUCUGAAUAACACAUCUAUCAUGCAAUAGGAUCAUAAAAUGCAAAAAAAUUCUCCUGAACAACCAUUGUGAUUGCUGGAUGAAGAUGAAAUCUUGUCAUGUUCUCCGUUAGUACUUGUCUCUUCAAGGGAAACUGUUGUACUUUCAGUAGAGCACACUUAUGGACUCUUGGUGACAUAUACAUCUGCUACAAAAAGGAGACAUUAAUCAUCACUUCGUUGAGGUACAGGGAAAGUGUGGGCCUGCAAAGGCGUGUGCAGAAGCAGCCAUCUCCAGAGAGGCAGCUGUGAAGAAGGAAGUCUUAAGCACCAGCUUAGAGUUCUCUGAGAGAUAUUGGAGUUUGCAGUUUGCAGAGAAAGGUCUUGGUUCCACUGCACAGUCUUGACAGGGCAAUAACAGAAAAGCAUGAUUUUUCUGGGCCCUGGAAAAAGGAAACAAGAAUACGACCUCUUACUUAUCCUGCCACUGUUGCCUGGUACAACCACUUAGGCCUAUGAAGAGUCUUAGACCUCAUGUAUGCUACUCUGCUAGCAUCUUGCAGUCACAAUUAGCAAAUGCCACACUUCUGUUUGACAGGAGAGUUUCUUUCUCAAUUCCUUUUCAUCCAUCUCACUUUGGACAUCUCAGUACAACAAACAAACAAAAUACCUGGUCACAGCAGCAUGGUACAUUCUGUAUUGUGCCUGCUGACAGCUGGAAAUGGAGCCGAAACCAAUCUCCUAUUCUGCUCAGUAGAUUAAAACAGCAGGUAAUAAAAUUAGUCAUGCUCAUCACGAGGCUGGUGUUUAAUUAAUGACCUAGCAGCAAAAGGCUCCCAGCUGAUCAUUACAACAGAUUCUAGAGAUUCCUUCAGUACAGUUUGCUGUGUAAGACUAUUGACAUGCAGACAGUGUGCAAACUGACUGGGAAAAAUGAAGUGGUGUCAAGAAUGUUUUGGCUGAAUUAACUCUGAAUAUGUCUUUGCUGCCCUGGGAUUUUGGUCUGAAACACAAUAUCAUUUGAAGGUACUUUGUAGCUUUCAAUAUCAUAUUCCAAUAAAAGGAAAGGAGUAGAAUGCUGACAGCCUGUAGUUGUACUUUGAAAGAAGACUGCAAAAAAUGUAUUUUGCUUGUUUGUUUUAAAGAUAUAAUUCAAGGAAUGUGUAUUUUGUUCUUGAAUCCUAAAGAUAAUCAGAAAAGGCCAUAGAUAUGCACUGGCUGAUUUAUUAGAAAAUUAAACCAACAUGCCACCAAAUAUUAAGAUUUUAGACGUUUUCUUAUUGAUUGUUGUGAUGAAGAUCACAGAUGUAUCAAGGGCACAUUCCACUGUUUAUCUGCACCUGAUAUGUAGUGAGAUCUUUACCUCUGCAUCUUAAAGGGAUGCUAUUUUUCUCUGGUAAAAAUUAAAAACCUCCUUCCCAUUAAUGUACAGAGGUAGAGGAUUUGGGAGACUACCUUUUAGGAUUCUGAGCUGCUUUGUCUUGUGUUCUUUGUUGGAGGACUGACUCAUGAUGAUAGCAAUAAAUUUAACAUUAUUUUAUUUGAUUUAGAGUUAGAGCCCUUGCUUCAGAAAUAGAGAUGAUGUCUUCUUAAUAUUGUUCUCUAAAGAGAAACUAGCCUUAUGCUGAAAAUAUGACACUUUUUCUUUUCUUUUUUUUUUUUUUUGAAUUGAUAAUGUGAAACAUUUGUACAAUAAGGAGAAAUAUUUUUAUGAAAGGCCUUUUCAUUACCUGCUGCUCAGCAGUUUGCAUUUAUGCACAUCCAUUUUUAACACAUCCAUGUUUAAGUUAGAAAAGAAUUGUUGGAUUGUGGGCUAUUCUGCUUCAGGAGGACUCAUAUCCUUCUGAAUAGCAACACAAGUAAAGCACAGAGAAACCUGGAUGCCAUCCUGAGCUUUAUUCAAUAAAUACAGCUCAUAGUCAGCGCUACAUGCCCUGUUUCUGAAAACCAGGCCAUGGAUUAUCCAAUUAAAUGCUCACCUUUGAAAGUUAAGAUGAUUAUUCUAUCUUCUAGUUCUUAAAAAACUCAAGGGAACUGCUUUCCUUGAUAUCUCAGUUGUGUCUUCACUCCUCCUGAGUCAGGAGUUGUGUGAGGCUGACUGAAACAGACAUUUUCCACUUGUUUUGUUAAUUCCAUUAGGAGCUUUAGCCCCCUAGAGGGAAUCAAUGCACAAAUUAACCAAAGAUUUAUGAAUCCCCAAAGGGAUAAUUUAAGGCUGUAUAAUGGUCCAGUGGAUUUUAAAUCUAGCUGAGAAAAUUUGCUCCUCUAACUUUCAUACUUGAUUUUCUUCUUGUCAAAAUAUAUGAGAAUUAGAUGAUUUUUCAUCCCCCCUGUUAAAAGACCUCCCAAAAAACUUCCUGCGGGGAUUAUAAAGAAAAUUACAAAUGGAUUUGAAAGGUUUUAUUUCAAAAUCUUUAUUGAAAGGACAGGCGACAUUCUUUAAUGUCAAAUUUUAAAGACAGAAAACCUACCUGCUAGCAACAAGCAUGAGGCUAUAAUGAGUAGAAGAGGUUGUCAUCUGGUGUGAAUCAGCACUACUCUAUUGAAGGAGACAAGCUCAGAGAAGCCAUAUUGUUUACAGUAAAUAAAAAUCUACCUUACUAUUUCUCACUGCCGUUAAUAGGUCUGAGAAAUGAUCAGAUGGUACUGAGGCUCAGAAAUCUCUGAAUGGCUCUAACUCUUCCUCCAGUCCCAUCCUCUGGUUAGCUUCCUUGUUGUCUAUUUUAAUUUCUGUUUUCUUUUAGGAGCAUGCUAACUUUUCUGUUAUUGAUGCCUUUCUGCCUCUACUGCUUUUGCAUUCUUUGGAUGAGCCCUUGAAGGCUUUUUACUUUUGCUAAGUUUUCUGAUCUUAUAGCAAACUCCCAUCUUAGCCUUUGGUAUUUUUUAUUUACCUAAUAUGAUUUUGAUCACAAGGAAAUUAUUUGGCAUUUGAUGAGUGUUCCACAUCUAAUUACUAACACGUUAUAAUUCAUUGUCAAGUGACUGAGCCUUUCAAAUAAAACAAUGCAGAAACAACUAA